GGCGUUGUGGCGCAGCGGGUUAACACUCUGGCCUGAAGCGCCAACAUCCCAGGUUUGAGACCUGGCUGCUCCG
rnacentral:tRNA from 1 species